GACAGAGGGUGCGAGCGUUGUUCGGAAUUACUGGGCGUAAAGCGUGCGCAGGCGGUUUUGUAAGUCUGUCGUGAAAUCCCCGGGCUCAACCUGGGAAUUGCGAUGGAGACUGCAAGGCUAGAAUCUGGCAGAGGGGGGUAGAAUUCCACGUGUAGCAGUGAAAUGCGUAGAGAUGUGGAGGAACACCGAUGGCGAAGGCAGCCCCCUGGGUCAAGAUUGACGCUCAUGCACGAAAGCGUGGGGAGCAAACAGG
rnacentral:rRNA from 1 species